ensembl:lncRNA
AUGAUUUUACGUUUCCAGAGGCCUCCUAUGCCAUGGCUCCUGUAUAGCCUGCAGAACUGGACAUGGAUGAAUCUGGAAAACAUCAUCCUCAGCAAACUGACACAAGAACAGAAAAUGAAACACCGCAUAUUCUCACUCAUAGCUCCUAGGCUUGUGCAGCAAGUAUGCAAGACAGCAUUCUAAAACCUGUGAUAGACACUCCACAGUAUAACUUGGGUGAGUCUCGUGUAAACUGAUGCCUUAUGGCUAUCAUAGUAUUAGAGUAACUAUGUCAAAGUGAUUUUUCUUGUGUUGUGGAUAUCUAAUGAUAGUGAUAGGAAGUAAUUGUGAAGAGCAAGAGCUCAGACUGAUUUGUGGUUUAGGUUACUUUUUGAAUAUUAGUGGACAAUAUUUGACAUAUGACACUGUAUUAUUGAGCCUGAAUUAUUAAAUCUAAUAUACAGUACAAUAUGACUCUGGUUUUUAGUGGAGCUGAGGGUGGAUAUUGCUUUCCUGGGGACACUGUUGACAUAAAAAAGACACAUACACACGUACCAUAGAUAAUGCUCUUUCAGCCACAUCAAACAAAGAAGACAUUGUUUGAGACUUUUGACACCACCGAAACUCAGGUCAGCUAAAGAAAAAGGAAAUAAAUCCCAAAAACUUUCACUUUAGUUUUUCAAAAUCUUCUAGUUUAUGUUUCACAUCAAAUUAUUCCUAUAUUCUUUCUGAGUAUUCUUCCAUUCAAAUAUAUUUUAGAAUGUAUAUUAACAUAUUAAGUUAAUGUUCCCAAUAAAUGGACUUAUAUUUGACAUCCUAAAAUGUACUGAAAUACUAGCUUUCUGCUAUUAAAUAUGCUGCUUCUCAUAAAGCUCUGCUUUUUUGUGCAAAGAACCAAAUAAUUUUAAAAAUUAUGUCACAGAAUAGCAUGUAAAUGACUGAGAAGGAACUAGUAGAACUCAUCUUCUGAGUGAAUUUGGAACUGCCUAUUUGUUCCUUCAGCAAUACUCAGUAGUACACAAACAGUUCUGUAUUAGAUUAUUUGUCAAUGUUAUUUUAUGAAGAAAUUUAAUAAAAUUUACUACUCUGCAAUCCAUUGAGCACUUCCUAACUUAAUUGUCAUAUUCUGCAUUUCCUGAGAUUUACAAUUAAAAUUGUGAUGAGCCAGACAUACAAACUAUUCAUUUUGUGACAAGACAGCUUAUUUGUAUUUUACCAAAAUUACCUGAGAUUUUUAUUAAAAAAUAAUAAAAUCAAUUUCGCCCAUCUGUAAGUACCUAUAUAUAAUAUAUUUUGUCGGAAUAUAUUUUCAACCUAUUUUCUCUCAAUUCCCACAACAAAAAAGAUACUUCAAUUUACUAUUUAUGCCCAUGCCAGAUCCAGUUAAUAAAAAAUAAUGGCCCUGACAUUUUAUAUUUUCCGAGGAUGAUCAAAUAAGAAAUGGUCUCCAGACCAAACAUUUAUUGUGAUUAAGAAAUGUUUAGUCUUCCUUAUAUCAUUGUUACUAGUCACCAGUAUUACUUUCUAAAUCUUCAAGAUCACAUAAAUGUAUUAAUUUAUAUUGUGUCUUUUUUUAAAACUUAAAUUUAACUAUUAGAAAGAUCAAUACAAAUAUGAAAGACCAAAUUACUGAUAUUGCUCUUUGUGUAAUAAUUAAG